rnacentral:rRNA from 1 species
GGAGGUAGUGACAAUAAAUAACAAUGCCGGGCCUUCUUAGGUCUGGCAAUUGGAAUGAGAACAAUUUAAACCCCUUAUCGAGUAUCAAUUGGAGGGCAAGUCUGGUGCCAGCAGCCGCGGUAAUUCCAGCUCCAAUAGCGUAUAUUAAAGUUGUUGCAGCUAAAAAGCUCGUAGUUGGAUUUGUGGUGUGUCCAGUCGGCCUUUGCUCUCUGAGUGAUUGUGCUGUACUGGUCUGCCAUGUUUGGGUGGAAUCUGUGUGGCAUUAAGUUGUCGUGCAGGGGAUGCCCAUCGUUUACUGUGAAAAAAUUAGAGUGUUCAAAGCAGGCUUAUGCCGUUGAAUAUAUUAGCAUGGAAUAAUAAUAUAGGACCUUGGUACUAUUUUGUUGGUUUGCGCACUAAGGUAAUGAUUAAGAGGGACAGUUGGGGGUAUUUGUAUUCCAUUGUCAGAGGUGAAAUUCUUAGAUUUUUGGAAGACAAACUACUGCGAAAGCAUUUACCAAGGAUGUUUUCAUUAAUCAAGAACGAAAGUUAGGGGAUCGAAGAUGAUUAGAUACCGUCCUAGUCUUAACUAUAAACCAUGCCGGCUAGAGAUCGGAGGUCGUUCGAUUUGUGACACCUUCAGCAUCUUGAGAGAAAUCAAAGCCUUUGGGUUCCGGGGGGAGUAUGGUCGCAAGGCUGAAAUCCAUAUGA